UUCAUCGAGAGAAGGCGUGGAACGAAUGGAUUAAGCGCAGUAAUGGAACGUAUCUUUACAAACAUGAGCUAUUACAACUGCUGCGAAAUAUUGCAAAUAGCACAAGUCAAAUCGCAUUACAGAAAACAUUGAAUCAUUGAAAAACAGCCAUCUGUGGAAAGAAUCGCUGCAACUGCAGAAAUACUUUGAUGAAUUUUUGGGAUUACACUUGCAAGUAUUAAUCUCUUCUAUUUUAUGCGUUUUAAUAUCAGUACGCUAAACUGCUCAAAACUGAUACUACCUAUCCAACCUAUGUGUGUUUAUAUAAAUAUAUACAUUACUUUUCAAGAAAUGGGUCCAUUUUUACAGGGAUGAAUCGUUGCGCGUUGCCAUUUAUACAAACAACGGAGUGGAAAGGCAAAAUAACUGGUUAAAGCAUUCAUAUUUAGAGGACAGACGAAAUCAUUCGAUAAGUGAUCUCGUCAAUAUAUUACUAACACAGUUCCUGCCUGAUAGCUACAAAAAAUAUAAGGAACAGAAUAUCAAAUCAUCCGAUUCGUACAAGUCCUACAGCAAACAAAUCCCAAAGUUCCUGCACAAUAGACCAAAGUAUGUUGUUUCUCAUAUUAUUCAACGGAUGGAAUCUGACAUUCCAAGUAAAAACAUCAAGAUGGAAACGACAAAACAUUUCACUGUCACAAGCUCAUCAUCCACAUAUCAAGUUUUUCUGGGAUCAAACGACCAAAUGCCUUCCUGCCAAUGUCUUGAUUACAGGAGUCGGAAGAUGCCUUGUAAACACAUAUAUGUGCUGUUUUUCAACAACCAAAUGUUGGGAAGUUUUCCAAUCAUCCCCUAUUUACUUUAGAUCUCCAUAUAAUUCAACCAAAAGCCAAUAUAAGCCAAACUCAGACUGAUAUCAAACACAAGUCACUGCCAGGAAACUUUGCGCAAUGUCCUAAUUAUGAAAAAGCUCAUUCUUCUGACUGUUUUCUUACCACAACAGAUUAUUACUCUAACUCAAUCCAAAAUGUUAGAAAUAAGUGUGUUCAAAAAGUCAAACAAAUUCAGGAUGAGCUUUACAUUUUGGAUGAUGAGAAAGUUUAGGGCAAAGCCCUGGAGAUGUUACAAGAGGUAAUACAAUACACAAGAAAAAAUCAUCUUGAGGAAAAUGGAAUUUCAUUGAAAAACAAGUCUUUAUCUCCAAAAAAGAAACAAGUUUCAAAGUGUAGGUCACAAUCUGCU